rnacentral:rRNA from 1 species
AGUGAACGCUGGCGGUAGGCCUAACACAUGCAAGUCGAACGGCAGCACAGUAAGAGCUUGCUCUUACGGGUGGCGAGUGGCGGACGGGUGAGGAAUACGUCGGAAUCUACUUUUUCGUGGGGGAUAACGUAGGGAAACUUACGCUAAUACCGCAUACGACCUACGGGUGAAAGCAGGGGAUCUUCGGACCUUGCGCGAUUGAAUGAGCCGAUGUCGGAUUAGCUAGUUGGCGGGGUAAAGGCCCACCAAGGCGACGAUCCGUAGCUGGUCUGAGAGGAUGAUCAGCCACACUGGAACUGAGACACGGUCCAGACUCCUACGGGAGGCAGCAGUGGGGAAUAUUGGACAAUGGGCGCAAGCCUGAUCCAGCCAUACCGCGUGGGUGAAGAAGGCCUUCGGGUUGUAAAGCCCUUUUGUUGGGAAAGAAAAGCAGCAGGUUAAUACCCCGCUGUUCUGACGGUACCCAGAGAAUAAGCACCGGCUAACUUCGUG